UAAGGAUUUCCACUUUAAUUGAUGAAUAAUAAUUGUUUUAAUAAUGUCAAUAAUAACUUGAACUUUUAACAUGACAGUGGCCCCUGUGUUUUCCCCCCAGAAACAUACAUGCAGACCCACACACACACACACAAGCAUAUUCACACCCCUCCAACUCUCCACUUUAAAACCCUUUAACAGAGUCAUAGGUCUCGGGUCUAUUGAUGGGAAUCAGUCUUCAGGACUGUGUCCAAGUACAGCGGGUGAGUAGCUACGUAUUACAGACAGUAAGGGGCGCCAUAAGACAAAAAAUGACAUUGUUACCAUAGCAGGAUCCUUAUUCAUUAGUGCACACAGGAGCACAACGUAGGCAAACAAUUUGCACUGGAAAACGAGCGUUUCUUAUUGGACAACCUCAGGCAGUCCAUUUUCCUGUGUUUUGGUACCUAAAUGAAUAGGCUGUAACCCGGCUCAGCUGCUGCAAAGAUGCCGGACAGAAAUACCAGGAUGGAAGCAAAUGGACUCCUGAAACAACCAGCAAACCAGGCUGUCGUCUUGUGAAACGGUGGAUGUAAAGAAUCUAGCUAGAUAAAAGCGUUUACUGCAAAUUGAAUGUACAAUUUUGUAAGCUUGCCUUGUGGAUAACGUAACUAGCUAACUAUGUUCCUGCUUAUUGGGCAGUGGAGGAUCAAAUCCCUGUAUGCCUAUGGAUGUGUAGCUGUCCAGCUGAUCUGUGUAUGGACCCAAACGUUUGGUAUACAUAUUAGUUCAGAACCUAGAUAUGAACUUUAACCAUCAUAGCUGGUUGUAUCAACUUCAAAACAGUCUGAAUGACAUUAAUGAAGCCUAUGGAUUGAGUAGAAUAUAACUUUGUGCCAAGGAUGCAAGUCGUAUAUACAUGUAGCAUGAGAUCCCCACAUUGUAGCCUGUACAUUUAAUAUAUUCACUAAUCAUGUACUCUACCUUGGUAAAUAAAGGUGCAGUUCAGGUA